CUCCCCGGCAAGGAAUCGAACCCCGGUCUCCCCCGCGUGACAGGCGGGGAUACUCACCACUAUACUACCGAGGA
rnacentral:tRNA from 13 species